rnacentral:tRNA from 2 species
GCUGUAGUUCAGUUGGUUAGAGCGUCAGAUUGUGGUUCUGAAUGUCGUGGGUUCGAGCCCCACCAG